CACAGGCGAGGGGCUUGGCGGAUGGCUGCUCAACGGCCAACACAAAUGAUGAAGACCCUGCUCACCUCUAUCCCCAGGGGUCUGCAAGGGCGCCUGGCCAGCGGGAGGAACCCGGAUGGUUAUGUACUCAACUAAUCAAGGGGACUGCUGCAAAUAACAGGAAGCCCACCCUGAAUCUCCCAAACAAGAUAAUGUGGAUCCUGUUCCUGCCCACAAGGAACCUGUA